rnacentral:misc_RNA from 1 species
GAUCUUGGAAGCAGAAUCUGAUCACAGAAUCCGAUGACGACUGAAAACUAAUUUGAGGUGUCAGCACGUGUCUACCAAGAGAGGAAUUACCACAAAGCACAGCGAACAUGGGGUGAAUCAACUAUGCCAUUCAAACAUGAUACAAACUGACUUUGUCACUCAUUAGAAGAACUAGAUCUCUGAACCCCUCUGAAGAUAAUUUAAAUAACAAUACGCUGGGAUGAUGGAGUUGGUCUUUGGCGUGUCCGGUUCUGCUGAUUCUGUUGAUGUAUUUAUUCUUCAAGGGAGUAAUUGUCGUAGGUGGGAAAUUGGCAGCUCCAGAGAAUCUCUUUCCUGCAUUGAGGAAUCAAGACUCAUCGGUGCAUCUGUAUGAUUGUUCAUUAGUGCACCGAAUAAAAAUCCAUAUAUUAUUCAUAAUGUAGAUAUAGAUCAUGUAUAUACUUUCUAAAUUAAUUUAAAUUGUCAUCAGAUAAGAAACCUCUAUGAAUUUUCAUUGUAACACAUUUGCUGUGAAAGAAUAGUUUUCUAUCCGAAUAAAUCCAUAUUAUUCCUAAUGAUGUGUUAAAAUUUAUUAACAAUCCAUCACCGAAGAGCCCUUUAGAAGUUAUAGUCUA